rnacentral:tRNA from 1 species
GGCAAGAUGGCCGAGCAUGGUUCAUGGCGCUACGUUCAGGGCAAUUACCUCAUUCGUAGUGGAGCAAUCCUCCUGGGUUCAAAUCCCAGUCUUGUCA